rnacentral:rRNA from 1 species
UGCUUAGGAAUCUGCCUAUUAGUGGGGGACAACAUCUCGAAAGGGAUGCUAAUACCGCAUACGUCCUACGGGAGAAAGCAGGGGAUCUUCGGACCUUGCGCUAAUAGAUGAGCCUAAGUCGGAUUAGCUAGUUGGUGGGGUAAAGGCCUACCAAGGCGACGAUCUGUAGCGGGUCUGAGAGGAUGAUCCGCCACACUGGGACUGAGACACGGCCCAGACUCCUACGGGAGGCAGCAGUGGGGAAUAUUGGACAAUGGGGGGAACCCUGAUCCAGCCAUGCCGCGUGUGUGAAGAAGGCCUUAUGGUUGUAAAGCACUUUAAGCGAGGAGGAGGCUACUCUAGUUAAUACCUAGGGAUAGUGGACGUUACUCGCAGAAUAAGCACCGGCUAACUCUGUGCCAGCAGCCGCGGUAAUACAGAGGGUGCGAGCGUUAAUCGGAUUUACUGGGGCCGUAAAGCGUGUCGUAGGCGGCUUUUUUAAGUCGGAUGUGAAAUCCCCCGAGCUUAACUUGGGAAUUGCAUUCGAUACUGGUGAGCUAGAGUAUGGGAGAGGAUGGUAGAAUUCCAGGUGUAGCGGUGAAAUGCGUAGAGAUCUGGAGGAAUACCGAUGGCGAAGGCAGCCAUCUGGCCUAAUACUGACGCUGAGGUACGAAAGCAUGGGGAGCAAACAGGAUUAGAUACCCUGGUAGUCCAUGCCGUAAACGAUGUCUACUAGCCGUUGGGGCCUUUGAGGCUUUAGUGGCGCAGCUAACGCGAUAAGUAGACCGCCUGGGGGAGUACGGUCGCAAGACUAAAACUCAAAUGAAUUGACGGGGGCCCGCACAAGCGGUGGAGCAUGUGGUUUAAUUCGAUGCAACGCGAAGAACCUUACCUGGCCUUGACAUACUAGAAACUUUCCAGAGAUGGAUUGGUGCCUUCGGGAAUCUAGAUACAGGUGCUGCAUGGCUGUCGUCAGCUCGUGUCGUGAGAUGUUGGGUUAAGUCCCGCAACGAGCGCAACCCUUUUCCUUACUUGCCAGCAUUUCGGAUGGGAACUUUAAGGAUACUGCCAGUGACAAACUGGAGGAAGGCGGGGACGACGUCAAGUCAUCAUGGCCCUUACGGCCAGGGCUACACACGUGCUACAAUGGUCGGUACAAAGGGUUGCUACACAGCGAUGUGAUGCUAAUCUCAAAAAGCCGAUCGUAGUCCGGAUUGGAGUCUGCAACUCGACUCC